AAUUAUUACUGUGAAGCCCAGAACAGAAGAGGACGUCAUAACUCCACCUUACAUCUGAUUGUUGUGGCAGGUUCAUUGAAAUUUCCGGUUGUUCUAUCAGUCAGUGCUGUUGUUCUGGUCUUCAUACUUCUUCUCUCUGUCUUCAUAUGGAUUAGAAAGAGCUCCUUGCAAAAACAACCUGAGGCUGAUGAGACACCACACAACAGAGCAGAGCAGACAGAUGAAACUCAGGAUGCAACCAUACGACUCAUAAGAAACCAGGCAGAGGCUCUCUACUCCAACUACAGCCCAGCUCAGCCCCUCAGAAACGAGGAGGAGGUUGUUUACGCGACCCCCAACUUCAACAGUGCCGCAGGAACAAGGCCUCAAGCAGCUGUGGAGGAUGUAUCUGCCCUGUACAGCAGAGUUAGUAGACGACACUGAGUGUGGUGACAACAUGGAUCUGUGGUCUGUAUUUAUGCAUGGACUUUCUAUGCCUUUUCUUAGCAGGUGGCCCCAUUUGAUUUUUCCUCAGGACAGACUGGGCCAAGAAUGCAGAAUCAAGGCAGCAAUAAUCAUUUAUACAUCGAUUAUAUUAAUGAAGGACAGAUAGAUUAAAUAUUAGACACUUCUCUGAUGGACAUUUAAACCUUUGUGAAGAAUUUAUUACAGGACUGUUGUGUUAAACUGCAUAACUUUAGCUCCGUCUACCAUUUUUUCAGGACUUUACAAUUUUGAUUAUUAUAUGAUCACAUUUGGUCAUAAUGUUUGUUUAUUUUAUUUUAUUUUUAAAGGGACAGUGCACAUCAGUGAACAUAAGGACAAUGCCCAAAUGUAAAUGAGCCAGAUUUAGCCAUACAGACUCAUUUUUAUCUGGAGUCCCUGGCAGGUUGAUGUUAUAACAAUAAGUCACAUCUAUUGUCAGUAUUCAUAUGCUGAUUUUCUGAACUUGUAUUUUUAUUGCAUGGUCAUGUCCGCUCAUUAUUGGCUGCCUAUAUUGCUGUAUGUAUUUAUCUGCUUUGAAAACUCAUGUUUGCUUCAUCUUGCAUGUAAAAUAGUGAGUAAGACACAAGUUAAGACCUUUUCUUUCUUGCACUCCUUGUCUGGCCUGAUGAGAGACUGCUUGGUAACACUUUUUAAAAUGUAAAUGGAUAUAAACUGUAUUUUUCAUUUGCAUUUUAAGCCUUUGACAUGGAGUUUGUGUUUCAAUCUGAUUAAACAGAACGUUUAUCGCA